GGGUGCUUGGCGCAAUGGUAGCGCGCGGUCCUCCUAAGACUGAGGUUGAGGGUUCGAGUCCCUUGGUGCUCA
rnacentral:tRNA from 1 species